rnacentral:lncRNA from 1 species
GGUUCCUUGGAUCUAGCAGCAAUGGCCAGGAGGGCCAAGGCCUCGUGCUGAUAUUUAGCUCAGGGGCCAGCCUCCUGGGCACACAGGUCAAUAAACACGCUCUCAGUGUUAAAGAAAAGAAAAAGCCACCUAGGAGGGACGCCUGGGGGGCUCAGCUCUCGAGCAUCCGCCUUCAGCUCAGGGCGUGACCCCAGGGUCCCAGGAUCGAGUCCCACGUCGGGCUCCCCGCAGGGAGCCUGCUUCUCCCUCUGCCUGUGUCUCUGCCUCUCAUGAAUAAAUCAAUAAAAUCUUAAAAAAAAGGAAAAAAAAAAAAAAGAAAAAGCCACCUAGGAGAUCUGAUACAGAACCAGGUGGAGCUUCUAGAAAUGACAAGCAGCAUCCUCAGGGAGCCAGGAGCUCCACAGCCGCCCUGAGUCCCUGUGGUAGACAGAACUCGUGAGCUAGAAGACAGGUCAUAAGACUAUGACCCAGGAUGUGGUCCAGAGAGACCAAAGGAGGAAAGGGUGUCAGCGGCGGAGCAGGGCCGGCAGAAGGCCAGGAGGGCCGUCCUCAGGCUGCUCAGAGCCCAGUCGCAGGAGCUGGGGGCAGGUGGGUGAUUCCAGCAGGAGGCCCCCAUGGCCCUGGGGUCAUGACCUGAGCUGAAGGCAGACGCUUCGCCGACGGAGCCACCCAGGCGCCCUGACUUGGUCAUUUCUUAGACCCUUGAUGACUUUUAAUUAAUAAGCGAUUUUAAGCUGUUUUAUAAAGUUGAGGGUCUUUGUUUUUACAGUUUUUAGUAGGGGCGGGCAUGGCCUGGGGUCUCCGGGGCUCACGGGACGCUGCGUGCACAGGAGUGAGUGGUGGUGCAGAUGCCUCUGUGCCGCGGUGCCCACAUGUACACACGACCCCGGCAGCCAGGCCCUGCCCCGAGCCUGCCGCCCGAGUCCCGAGCCCACCUCAGGUCCUCGCCUUCGCUCCCCACUGGGCCCGGCCCGGGUGACCCGGAGCCUGGCGGGGCAGGGGGCAGGGCCGUCCGGCCCCGGGGGCUGGAGGUGCCCACCCCUCACCCAGCAGCCCUGCUGUUUCAGCCCCAGCUCACAGGGCAGGUGGGGCCUGGAGCACGUGCGGCCAGAUGCUUCCCCCCGACGCCCCCCAGUCCAGAGCCACACGGGCGGCGGGGUCCCCUGCCCUGGGCACAGCUCUGCUCGCAGCAAGACCACAGCCCUGGCGUCUUCUCCGCAGCCCAUUAGAGGAGGGUCGGGCCAGAGUGGCGGACAGGAGGGGCCUGUCCAUGAACCCCACUGUGGCCAUCAUGGUCCGCAGGGCUCACCACCUGUGGGAUCCAAGCCUGGGCAAUCGCCUUGUGCAGGUCAGAGCGAUGCGGGCUCCAGCCUGUGGCACCUGAGGUCUGCCCCCACCGUCCUGCCCCUGGGCUGGAGCCAGUGGCCCCCAGGGAGACAGCAGGGUCAGGGCCGGUCCGCCCAGUCUGAGUGGUGGCCCCCAAGGGCUGUCCUUCCUGCAGGCUGCCUCCCCUGACGCUCCUCCUCCCCCUCCUGCCUCUGAAAUAUUAAAACCCUCUGCUGGCUCCUCUCCUAUCCGGAGAAAAGCCCAGGUCCUUAAAGGGUCCCACACAAUCGGCCCACAUCGCCCUCUGGUCCCCAUCCAUCUCUCCCCUGAAGCCACACCAGCCUGCAGCUGAACAGCCGGCACAGGGCCUUUGCACUCGCCAACUCCCGUUUUCCUUCGAACCUCCUCCUGCCCCCGCACCGCCCCUGACUCUGCACACAGCGCCCCGUAGAACUCUCGGCUGAGUCUACUGUUUCCUCCUCUGGAACCCGCGCUCCAGGCGAGCGGGCGGGUGGGCUGUUUCUCCACGCCCCGCCCUCAGGUGUGAAACAGGGACCCAUAGCUCACAGGCGCUCAAUAAACGCAUCCUGGGUGAAGAGAAACUCCAGGCCGGGGGCACCCGGGAGGCUCAGUCAGUUAGUUAGGCGUGUGCCUUCGGCUCAGGUCAUGAUCUCAGGGUCCUAGGAUCGAGCCCCGUGUUGGGCUCCCUGCUCAGCGGGGAGUCUGCUUCUCCCUCCCCCUCUGCCCGUCCCCUCAGGCCUCUCUUGUGCAUGCUAAUACAUAAUUAAAAAAAAAAGAAUAGAAAUACCAGGCUACCUUUAAGGAAAGCGUGUUUCGUUGUCCUGGUUCGGUGCGCCGCAGGGGCGCACACAGUGGGACGACCAGGUGCUCCCGGCCCCGCAUCCCUGGACUCCUUCAGUUUUGUGGUUGUUGUUAAUUUGAGUACCAAGUUUCAAAACAAAACAAAACAGGGCAGCCCCGGUGGCUCAGCGGUUUAGUUUCACCUUCAACCCAGGAUCGAGUCCCACGUCGGGCUCCCUGCAUGGAGCCUGCUUCUCCCUCUGCCUGUGUCUCUGCCUCUCUCUCUCUCUGGGUCUCUCGUGAAUAAAUAAAAUAACAUCUUUAAAACAAAACAAAACACAGGCGCUCACGGGAGCUCUGGCACUGGCUCCUGUGUGUUUGCAGAGAAAAGUGUAAAACCCCAAGCUCACUUGU